rnacentral:rRNA from 1 species
UGCCCUAGUACGGCGAGUGAAGCGGCAACAGCUCAAAUUUGAAAUCUGGCUUUCGGGCCCGAGUUGUAAUUUGUAGAGGAUGAUUUUGAUGCGGUGCCUUCCGAGUUCCCUGGAACGGGACGCCAUAGAGGGUGAGAGCCCCGUCUGGUUGGAUGCCAAAUCUCUGUAAAUCUCCUUCGACGAGUCGAGUAGUUUGGGAAUGCUGCUCUAAAUGGGAGGUAUAUGUCUUCUAAAGCUAAAUACCGGCCAGAGACCGAUAGCGCACAAGUAGAGUGAUCGAAAGAUGAAAAGCACUUUGAAAAGAGAGUUAAAAAGUACGUGAAAUUGUUGAAAGGGAAGCGUUUAUGACCAGACUUGGGCUUGGUUAAUCAUCUGGGGUUCUCUCCAGUGCACUUUUCCAGCCCAGGCCAGCAUCAGUUUUCGCCGGGGGAUAAAGACUUCGGGAAUGUGGCUCCCCUCGGGGAGUGUUAUAGCCCGUUGUGUAAUACCCUGGUGGGGACUGAGGUUCGCGCUUCUGCAAGGAUGCUGGCGUAAUGGUCAUCAACGACCCGUCUUGAAACACGGACCAAGGAGUCGUCUUCGUAUGCGAGUGUUCGGGUGUCAAACCCCUACGCGUAAUGAAAGUGAACGCAGGUGAGAGCUUCGGCGCAUCAUCGACCGAUCCUGAUGUUCUCGGAUGGAUUUGAGUAAGAGCAUACGGGGCCGGACCCGAAAGAAGGUGAACUAUGCCUGUGUAGGGUGAAGCCAGAGGAAACUCUGGUGGAGGCUCGCAGCGGUUCUGACGUGCAAAUCGAUCGUCAAACAUGGGCAUG